ACAGCCUUUCGUAUCAACUUAAACAGGUGUAAGGCUCAAAUUUCUGCUUAAACAAACAGAAAUUCUGCAAAUGAAAGAGAAGCAAACAAUUCAUGGUGAGGAAACAUACACUGAAACCCCAACAUCAAAAGAAUUCCGCCCGUGAAAGAUUCCACCACCACUUGAAGCUAAUAAGCACAAGACACACACGGAAUCAAUGAUGUGGUAAACUAAGUCUAACAGUUUCUCACAAAUGAUAGAGAAAUUGACUACAUUUACUUCAGGACUUCCUGUCCCCUUUAUCUGACAGAACAUUUCUUGCACCUCCACAACAUUCGCAAUUUAUUACAGAAUUUGAAUGUCAGUUCUGACUGAUACAUGCUCCAACAAGUACAUCCAUCUUGAUGGUCCUGAACAUUGGACAACUCUCUUCACUACAACUUCCUUGACUUCCAAUGAACAAGACAGAUCAAAAUAAAAGGGAGUGCUUAUCCUGUACAAUCUAUCCCCUAAGCUUUAGCUUUUGUUUGCCAGGAAUUACAACAUUGAGCAUCAAAAUAAAGCUCCUUGGAAGAAUAUAAAAUGAAAAAGGACAUCCCAGUCACCAUCUCCCAUGUAUAUUUUCCAUCAUGAUACAAAUUUAUGCAUAUGACUUUAGGUUUAAUGAGAUUGGAGUC